rnacentral:rRNA from 1 species
AGUGAACGCUGGCGGUAGGCCUAACACAUGCAAGUCGAACGGCAGCACAGUAAGAGCUUGCUCUUACGGGUGGCGAGUGGCGGACGGGUGAGGAAUACAUCGGACUCUACUUUUUCGUGGGGGAUAACGUAGGGAAACUUACGCUAAUACCGCAUACGACCUACGGGUGAAAGCAGGGGAUCUUCGCACCUUGCGCGAUUGAAUGAGCCGAGGUCGGAUUAGCUAGUUGGCGGGGUAAAGGCCCACCAAGGCGACGAUCCGUAGCUGGUCUGAGAGGAUGAUCAGCCACACGGGAACUGAGACACGGUCCAGACUCCUACGAGAGGCAGCAGUGGGGAAUAUUGGGCAAUGGGCGCAAGCCUGAUCCAGCCAUACCGCGUGGGUGAAGAAGGCCUUCGGGUUGUAAAGCCCUUUUGUUGGGAAAGAAAAGCAGCAGGUUAAGACCCCGCUGUUCUGACGGUACCCAAAGAAUAAGCACCGGCUAACUUCGUG